UACGUAGGGGGCAAGCGUUGUCCGGAUUUAUUGGGCGUAAAGAGCGUGUAGGCGGCCGUACAGGUCAGCUGUGAAACUCGAGGCUCAACCUCGAGACGUCGGUUGAAACCGUACGGCUAGAGUCCGGAAGAGGAGAGUGGAAUUCCCGGUGUAGCGGUGAAAUGCGCAGAUAUCGGGAAGAACACCCGUGGCGAAGGCGGCUCUCUGGGACGGUACUGACGCUGAGACGCGAAAGCGUGGGGAGCGAACGAGG
rnacentral:rRNA from 1 species